GACGAACGCUGGCGGCGUGCCUAAUACAUGUAAGUCGAGCGAUGAUUAAAGAUAGCUUGCUAUUUUUAUGAAGAGCGGCGAACGGGUGAGUAACGCGUGGGAAAUCUGCCGAGUAGCGGGGGACAACGUUUGGAAACGAACGCUAAUACCGCAUAACAAUGAGAAUCGCAUGAUUCUUAUUUGAAAGAAGCAAUUGCUUCACUACUUGAUGAUCCCGCGUUGUAUUAGCUAGUUGGUAGUGUAAAGGACUACCAAGGCGAUGAUACAUAGCCGACCUGAGAGGGUGAUCGGCCACACUGGGACUGAGACACGGCCCAGACUCCUACGGGAGGCAGCAGUAGGGAAUCUUCGGCAAUGGGGGCAACCCUGACCGAGCAACGCCGCGUGAGUGAAGAAGGUUUUCGGAUCGUAAAACUCUGUUGUUAGAGAAGAACGUUAAGUAGAGUGGAAAAUUACUUAAGUGACGGUAUCUAACCAGAAAGGGACGGCUAACUACGUGCCAGCCGCCGCAGUAA
rnacentral:rRNA from 1 species